rnacentral:rRNA from 1 species
GACGAACGCUGGCGGCGUGCCUAAUACAUGCAAGUAGAACGCACAGUUUAUACCGUAGCUUGCUACACCAUAGACUGUGAGUUGCGAACGGGUGAGUAACGCGUAGGUAACCUGCCUGGUAGCGGGGGGUAACUAUUGGAAACGAUAGCUAAUACCGCAUAAUAUUGAUUAUUGCAUGGUAAUUGAUUGAAAGAUGCUAUUGCAUCACUACCAGAUGGACCUGCGUUGUAUUAGCUAGUAGGUGAGGUAACGGCUCACCUAGGCGACGAUACAUAGCCGACCUGAGAGGGUGAUCGGCCACACUGGGACUGAGACACGGCCCAGACUCCUACGGGAGGCAGCAGUAGGGAAUCUUCGGCAAUGGACGAAAGUCUGACCGAGCAACGCCGCGUGAGUGAAGAAGGUUUUCGGAUCGUAAAGCUCUGUUGUAAGAGAAGAACGGGUGUGAGAGUGGAAAGUUCACACUGUGACGGUAUCUUACCAGAAAGGGACGGCUAACUACGUG